UGCUUGUUGGUAGACUUAUGAUCUGGUUGGU
rnacentral:piRNA from 1 species